GCACAAAUUUCGCAAGGCAGAUUCAGAUUUCAAAGAUAGUGAGAAAUCAUAAGCAAAAGGAGAAGCAAUGUUGACGGGGAUCGAAUAGCUUGCGCCGACUUGAGCAAAGUGCGGGGAAGAUUUAGUUAUUGAAGAGGCCCGAGGAGGGAUAGUGGGAGAAGGACCAUGUUCUGAGGACGAUUGCUUUGGCUGCUUGAAUCAUUUCGAGCAUGAUCUGCAGAUUGAAUUUGGCUACUUCCUUACGAUCUCGGGUUGGGCUUUUACUGGGUCUAGAAUUGUUUAAGAAGAUCGAAGCCCAAGUCAUCGGUUAUUUCCCUUUUGUGCCAUUGUGUCCUUUUGUUCUGCUAUAUAUGCUUGCUUUAUCAUUUCUUUUUAUUUUGGAUUUAAUGUAAGCUGGAUUUAAUACGACUUUUUUUUCUUUUA